rnacentral:rRNA from 1 species
GGAAGUUUACGCUAGCUAUAAUGCGGUCGAUCGCACAGCGAAAGGUGCUUGCACCUUUCAAGUGAGUGGCGAACGGGUGAGUAACACGUGGACAACCUGCCUCAAGGCUGGGGAUAACAUUUGGAAACAGAUGCUAAUACCGAAUAAAACUUAGUGUCGCAUGACACAAAGUUAAAAGGCGCUUCGGCGUCACCUAGAGAUGGAUCCGCGGUGCAUUAGUUAGUUGGUGGGGUAAAGGCCUACCAAGACAAUGAUGCAUAGCCGAGUUGAGAGACUGAUCGGCCACAUUGGGACUGAGACACGGCCCAAACUCCUACGGGAGGCUGCAGUAGGGAAUCUUCCACAAUGGGCGAAAGCCUGAUGGAGCAACGCCGCGUGUGUGAUGAAGGCUUUCGGGUCGUAAAGCACUGUUGUAUGGGAAGAACAGCUAGAAUAGGAAAUGAUUUUAGUUUGACGGUACCAUACCAGAAAGGGACGGCUAAAUACGUGCCAGCAGCCGCGGUAAUACGUAUGUCCCGAGCGUUAUCCGGAUUUAUUGGGCGUAAAGCGAGCGCAGACGGUUUAUUAAGUCUGAUGUGAAAGCCCGGAGCUCAACUCCGGAAUGGCAUUGGAAACUGGUUAACUUGAGUGCAGUAGAGGUAAGUGGAACUCCAUGUGUAGCGGUGGAAUGCGUAGAUAUAUGGAAGAACACCAGUGGCGAAGGCGGCUUACUGGACUGCAACUGACGUUGAGGCUCGAAAGUGUGGGUAGCAAACAGGAUUAGAUACCCUGGUAGUCCACACCGUAAACGAUGAACACUAGGUGUUAGGAGGUUUCCGCCUCUUAGUGCCGAAGCUAACGCAUUAAGUGUUCCGCCUGGGGAGUACGACCGCAAGGUUGAAACUCAAAGGAAUUGACGGGGACCCGCACAAGCGGUGGAGCAUGUGGUUUAAUUCGAAGCAACGCGAAGAACCUUACCAGGUCUUGACAUCCUUUGAAGCUUUUAGAGAUAGAAGUGUUCUCUUCGGAGACAAAGUGACAGGUGGUGCAUGGUCGUCGUCAGCUCGUGUCGUGAGAUGUUGGGUUAAGUCCCGCAACGAGCCGCAACCC